rnacentral:miRNA from 1 species
AAGCCCUUACCCAACUCUUUGCU